AGAUAACAGGGCCCAAAAAGAUGCAUACAAAAUCCACACAUAAAAAAGACAUAAUGCAAAGUUUAGAAACAUGCCUUUGUAGUUUAGUUAUUUCUCGCUUUGGGGGAUUGUGAUUGUUUUUAUAUCAUUUUUCUGACAUGGUGCUAUUUUGGGCUUUUGGAACAAAAACGUAGUGGCAGCGAGUUUGGGGAAACGUGUCAAGUUUUGGCAGUGUUGUACACACCCUGGGCAUGUAAAAGCACGCUUCCACAUGCCCAGGGCAUGUGUUCUUCUGUCCACCAGCGGGCAGCAGGGAUUCUCAGUCCAGAUUUCGCCUCUAAGCUGCCCAAACACACUUCCACUUCCUAUUUGUUGAGACACAGUUGUAGAUUUAGUUUUUGGGUUUUUCUAUUUCAAUUAGGAUUUUAUUUUUAUUUCCUAUUUCAUCUAGGAUUUAUUUAAUUUUCCUAUUCUCAGUAGGAUCUAGAUUUAUUUCUAUUUUAUUUAGGAUUUCCUAUU
rnacentral:misc_RNA from 1 species